UACAGAGGUCUCAAGCGUUGUUCGGAUUCAUUGGGCGUAAAGGGUGCGUAGGUGGCGCCGUAAGUCGGGUGUGAAAUUUCGGGAGCUUAACUCCGAAACUGCAUUCGAUACUGCGGUGCUUGAGGACUGGAGAGGAGACUGGAAUUCAUGGUGUAGCAGUGAAAUGCGUAGAGAUCAUGAGGAAGACCAGUGGCGAAGGCGGGUCUCUGGACAGUUCCUGACACUGAGGCACGAAGGCCAGGGGAGCAAACGGG
rnacentral:rRNA from 1 species